AACGAACGCUGGCGGCAGGCCUAACACAUGCAAGUCGAACGCCGUAGCAAUACGGAGUGGCAGACGGGUGAGUAACGCGUGGGAACAUACCCCUCGGUUCGGAAUAACUCAGAGAAACUUGAGCUAAUACCGGAUACGUCCGAUGUUUUAAUCGACCUUGGAGAAAGAUUUAUCGCCGGAGGAUUGGCCCGCGUCUGAUUAGCUUGUUGGUGAGGUAAUGGCUCACCAAGGCGACGAUCAGUAGCUGGUCUGAGAGGAUGAUCAGCCACAUUGGGACUGAGACACGGCCAAACUCCUACGGGAGGCAGCAGUGGGGAAUAUUGGACAAUGGGCGAAAGCCUGAUCCAGCCAUGCCGCGUGAGUGAUGAAGG
rnacentral:rRNA from 1 species